rnacentral:rRNA from 1 species
AGCAGCCGCGGUAAUUCCAGCUCCAAUAGCGUAUAUUAAAGUUGUUGCAGUUAAAAAGCUCGUAGUUGAAUUUCGGGAUUAAUAUGCUGGUCGUGCCAUUGGUACGUACUAGUAUUAUUGAUUUCUCCCUUCUGAUGAAUCAUGAUGUCAUUAAUUUGAUGUCAUGGGGAAUCAGGACUGUUACUUUGAAAAAAUUAGAGUGUUUAAAGCAGGCUCGCGCUUGAAUACAUUAGCAUGGAAUAAUGAAAUAGGACGUUUGAUUCUAUUUUGUUGGUUUCUAGGAUUGACGUAAUGAUUAAUAGGGAUAGUUGGGGGCAUUAGUAUUCAAUUGUCAGAGGUGAAAUUCUUGGAUUUAUUGAAGACUAACUACUGCGAAAGCAUUUGCCAAGGAUGUUUUCAUUAAUCAAGACGAAAGUUAGGGGAUCGAAGACGAUCAGAUACCGUCGUAGUCUUAACCAUAAACUAUGCCGACUAGGGAUCGGAUGAUGUUAAUUA